AGAGUUUGAUCCUGGCUCAGGAUUAACGCUGGCGGCGUGCCUAACACAUGCAAGUCGAACGAGGUAGCAAUACCUAGUGGCAGACGGGUGAGUAACGCGUGGUCAACCUACCGUUGUGUGGGGGAUAACUAGCCGAAAGGUUAGCUAAUACCGCAUACGUCUCCGAGAGGCAUCUCUUGGCGAUAAAAGGAGCAAUCCGC
rnacentral:rRNA from 1 species